rnacentral:rRNA from 1 species
UACGUAGGUGACAAGCGUUGUCCGGAUUUACUGGGCGUAAAGAGCGCGCAGGCGGUCGUAUAAGUCGAAUGUGAAAGCCCCUGGCUCAACUAGGGAGAGUCAUUCGAUACUGUUCGACUCGAAGGCAGGAGAGGGAAGUGGAAUUCCGGGUGUAGUGGUGAAAUGCGCAGAUAUCAGGAGGAACACCAAUUGCGAAGGCAGCUCGCUGGGACGUUACUGACGCUGAGACGCGAAAGCGUGGGGAGCAAACAGG